rnacentral:rRNA from 1 species
AAACCAAGAAAUUUAGUCAUUCUUUUAUGGUAAAAAAACAGUUAGGCAGGGGUAGAAAAUUAUUAGAUCUUUAGUAUAGGAGUAAAAUCUAAAUACUAAAAGUUAUAUCAGACAUGAUUUAUUUAAGAUGCUGAGGCUGUGAUAGCUUUAAGGGAAACUGGGAUUGGAUACCCCAUUAUUUUUAGCUGUAAAUUUAGCUUGAGCUUACCAGAGUACUACGAAUAAAAAGUUUAAAACUCAAAGGGCUUGGCGGUGUUUUAGACCUCUCAGGGGAACCUGUCUCGUAAUCGACAAUCCACGAUAAACCUAACCUUUAAUGGCAAUUCAGCCUGUAUACCGUCGUCGUCAGGUAACUUCUUAAAAUAUAGUAGUUAGCUUGAGAAUUAUAUUAAUUAGAACGUCAGAUCAAGGUGCAGCCAAUGAAGAGGUGAGGAUGGGUUACAAUUACAUAUUUGUAAAUACGGAAAAACGUUUGAAAUGAAGUGUCUUAAAGGAGGACUUGAAAGUAAUUUUAUCUAUAUAAAUAGAAUGAAUAGGGCUCUGAAACGUG